CUUACUAUUUGAAUUCUGUACAUUUUGGAAUGGUAAUGUAUAUCCUGUGCUAUUGAAUGGUGGAAGGAUGUGAUCUCCUUCUCAACCCUUCUCAAAAGGGUUACAGAGAUAUGCCAUACUAUUCCCAGCUUUUUAUAUUAUAUCUGGGGAUUUGAACUCAGGUCUUCAUGCUUAUCUGAAUUUACCAACUGAGCCACUUCUUCAGAAUCUACCAAGGAAACGUGUAUCUGAAUAUCAGAAUCAACACCAAGUUAACUAAGGGAAAACACAACUUAGCUAAAGAAAUUGAGGUUGUCCCACUAAAAAAGUGGCUUCUUCAGAGCUCAGAACCCAGAAACUCCCAACCAGGUCUUCAUAAGAGUGAAGGUGCAGCUGAGACAAAAGGAUGGACCAUCUAGAGACUGCCAUAUCCAGGGAUCCAUCCCAUAAUUAGCCUCCAAACGAUGACACCAUUGCAUACACAAGCAAUUGUUGGCUGAAAGGACCUUGAUAUAGCUGUCUCUUGUGAGACUAGGCCGGGG
rnacentral:lncRNA from 1 species